UACGUAGGGGGCAAGCGUUGUCCGGAAUUAUUGGGCGUAAAGAGCGUGUAGGCGGUCCGGUAAGUCAGCUGUGAAAGUCAAGGGCUCAACCCUUGAAUGCCGGUUGAUACUGUCGGGCUAGAGUCCGGAAGAGGCGAGUGGAAUUCCCGGUGUAGCGGUGAAAUUCGCAGAUAUCGGGAGGAACACCAAUGGCGAAGGCAGCUCGCUGGGACGGUACUGACGCUGAGACGCGAAAGCGUGGGGAGCAAACAGG
rnacentral:rRNA from 1 species